rnacentral:lncRNA from 1 species
AUUGAAUCACUAUCCAAAAUAAGUGUACAAGCCAAGCAUAAACUCAAAUAUAAAUUCAACCUAUACUACUAAUUCAAAGUACAAAGAAAAAGAAAAAGAAAAAUCCAUGUCCAAAUGCUGGCAUCCAUCAGUAAAUGCCAUCAGCGCAGAUCCUCAUCUGAGUCAUCAUCCUCCUCCUCCUGGGCAUCCUCAAAGUCUUCAUCCUCCUGGUCAUCGUCCUGUCCUCCUGAGGUCCCAGCUGCUCCGGACCCACUACCAUGUGCAUGUCCCUGAGGCCAAGCCAUCACACUACGAAACUCGUCCAUAGUCCACCUGUGCACUGGUGGCUAGUCAUAAAGUCCUAUGUCCUA